UGCUCCGCUUUGCUGCAUCGCAGACUUGUAACAGGUAAGGAUAUCCUGGAAACUAGGCUACAGUCGGCUGAUGCAAACAAAACCCAGGAGGGCCCCAGAAGCUUUCGGGCACGUAAACUGAAAAGGGGUGAUCUGUCUCAGCUCGAAAAUCUCCCAUGGCUAGGAGCCUAAGUACACAAGCUGUUUGCACUCGCGGGGUCCCGAGGAAGGGGAGGAUGAUGGGAGAAGACGAGAAACUACAAGCCCCAGCAUGCAGUGCACAAUCUGGCUCCUGGAAAGAGGGCCUCCGUGCGGCGCCGCCCGACCGCGGGCCGUAGGAGAGAUGCUGACUGUCGGCCGACCACAGUGUUCAGAAUGAGGAAGACAAGUGGGGCGCUAUGAAUGAGCCCUCAAGUCCCGUAUUCAUGACGUUUGCGGUUUCGCGUGGGGGCCCUAGGAUGCUGAGGAGUGGAAUUUCUGUGGGCGAGUCUUGUCUGUCCUCCCCGGUGCCGGACCUCCACAGUCCCAGAGCCUCCACCGUUUCCAUGUGACGCCUGGGCCGGAUAUGAUGUCGCCGUAGAGGAAGAAGGAAGAGGCGGAGCGGGCGCGGUGACGUCCUUCCAAAAUGGCAGAGAGAGCGUGAAGAAACUGUUCCCCCUUGGAUUGCUCUAGAACAAGGGUAAAAUUCCAUUCUGAUAUCAAAAUGCAGUAUUCGCACCACUGUGAGCACCUUUUAGAGAGACUGAACAAACAACGGGAAGCAGGUUUUCUUUGUGACUGCACCGUAGUGAUUGGGGAAUUCCAGUUUAAAGCUCAUAGGAAUGUGCUUGCCUCAUUUAGUGAGUAUUUUGGUGCGAUCUACAGAAGCACUUCUGAGAACAAUGUCUUCCUUGAUCAGAGUCAGGUGAAGGCUGAUGGAUUUCAGAAACUGUUGGAGUUUAUAUACACAGGAACUUUAAAUCUUGACAGUUGGAAUGUUAAAGAAAUUCAUCAGGCUGCUGACUAUCUCAAAGUGGAAGAGGUGGUCACUAAAUGUAAAAUAAAGAUGGAAGAUUUUGCUUUUAUUGCUAAUCCCUCUUCUACAGAGAUAUCUAGUAUUACUGGGAACAUUGAAUUGAAUCAACAGACUUGUCUCCUUACUCUACGAGAUUAUAACAGUCGGGAAAAAUCAGAAGUGUCUACAGAUUUAGUUCAGGCAAAUCCUAAACAAGGGGCUUUAGCAAAGAAGUCAUCUCAAACUAAAAAGAAGAAGAAGGCCUUCAACUCCCAGAAAACAGGACAGAAUAAAACAGUGCAAUAUCCCAGUGACAUUUUAGAGAAUGCAUCUGUUGAAUUAUUUUUAGAUGCAAAUAAAUUAUCCACACCUGUAAUAGAACAAGUUGCACAAAGAAAUGAUAAUUCAGAACUCGAAUUGACGUCAGUUGUGGAAAAUACUUUUCCAGCACAAGAUAUUGUGCAAACUGUUACAGUGAAACGGAAACGUGGAAAAUCACAACCAAACUGUGCUCUGAAAGAACACUCUAUGUCUAAUAUAGCCAGUGUCAAGAAUUCUUAUGAGCUGGAGAGCUCUGGGGAAGAGCUGGAUCAGAGGUAUUCCAAGGCCAAGCCAAUGUGUAACACAUGUGGGAAAGUGUUUUCAGAAGCCAGCAGCUUGAGAAGGCAUAUGAGAAUACAUAAAGGAGUUAAACCUUAUGUCUGCCACUUGUGUGGAAAGGCAUUUACCCAGUGUAACCAGCUGAAAACGCAUGUAAGAACUCAUACAGGUGAGAAGCCAUACAAAUGUGAAUUGUGUGAUAAAGGAUUUGCUCAGAAAUGCCAGCUGGUCUUCCAUAGUCGUAUGCAUCAUGGUGAGGAAAAACCCUAUAAAUGUGAUGUAUGCAAUUUACAAUUUGCAACUUCUAGCAAUCUCAAGAUUCAUGCAAGGAAGCAUAGUGGAGAGAAGCCAUAUGUCUGUGAUAGGUGUGGACAGAGAUUUGCUCAAGCCAGCACUUUGACCUAUCAUGUUCGUAGGCAUACUGGAGAAAAGCCUUACGUGUGUGAUACUUGUGGGAAGGCAUUUGCUGUCUCUAGUUCUCUUAUCACUCAUUCUCGAAAACAUACAGGUGAAAAACCAUACAUAUGUGGUAUUUGUGGGAAAAGUUUUAUUUCCUCAGGAGAGCUCAACAAACACUUUCGAUCCCAUACAGGAGAAAGGCCAUUUAUCUGCGAAUUAUGUGGAAAUUCUUACACAGAUAUUAAAAAUUUAAAGAAGCACAAAACAAAAGUCCAUUCCGGUGCAGAUAAAAUUCUAGAUUCUAGUAUAGAGGAGCAUCCCUUGAGUGAACAAGAUUCCAUACAAAAAAGUCCGUUAUCAGAAACAUUGGAUGUGAAACCUUCUGAUAUGACUUUACCGCUCUCUCUUCCACUUGGAACUGAGGACCACCACAUCCUUCUGCCUGUCACAGAUAAUCAGUCUCCUACAUCAGAUACAUUGUUGAGAUCAACUGUGAAUGGGUAUUCAGAACCACAGUUGAUUUUUUUACAGCAAUUAUACUGACUUUGUGAGGAAUAUGGAAUUUCUAAGACGUCUCUGGUAGUAAACAUAAACAUCUCUGAUUUUAUUUCUUUAUUCAUUAGAGACAGAGAGAGAGGCAGAGGGAGAAGCAGGCUCCCAAGGAGCGGGAAGCCCGAUGCGGGACUCGAUCCCAGGACCCUGGGAUCAUGACCUGAGCCGAAGGCAGACGCUUAACCAUCUGAGCCACCCAGGCGCCCCUAAAAAGAAUUUUUUAAAUAUAAACUUAAUGCAUACUCUAAAUCACUUGGCCUCUGAAUUGACACAUUGUAAUUAUAUAAAGAGUUAAGAAACUAGCUUCAAUUAUAAGUGAACAUUUGAGUUAUCAUAAAACCAGUUUAUUAACUAUUUUAUGUUUAAGUUUUCUAUAAGUUUUGAGUUUUAAAAUUUUAUAAAUUAAACCACAACAUUUGGCUGUUGUCAUAGUUUCGCAGUAGUCUGUUUCCUUCCUGCUGAACGUAGAAAAUUGAGUAUCCUUCUGAUACUUACUACCAGUCUUCCCCAUCCCACUUUUCCCACAUAAUUGAUUUAUUUUGCUGCCUAAUCUUUGGACAUUAAAUUAUCAGUUCCACAGAGUCCAUUUCCUAUACUGCUGAUCAAACACCAUGGUGACAUUUCUUAUUUCUGCCGUGCAUUAGCUUUGCCUUAUUUGUUUUCUGGCUUUAAACUACACCUAUAAUGAAGUUAAUGUCAGGGUUUUUUUGGUAUUGAUUUCUUUAAUUGUAUUUUCUCUGGUGUCCUAGUCAGAGGAACCAACUAAAAGAGGAUGUAGUAAAACUUAAUUCUUGUAGAGAUUGUCACUAUUUCCCAACACACUCAGCAUUUUCAGAAUGGAUUGCCACCAAUGGGACUGACUUAACUCAAUAGAUUUUGAACUGUUGCCUUUGUAUAAUAGACAUCAAGCUUAGUAUUUAAUUAUUUAUCUAAGAAAUCUAAUUAUGCAUGUGUAUUAAUAUACUGGCUUAAAUACAAUUUACAAAGUUAUAAAAUGUUCAACUAAUCUAUUCUGGCUUAAAUUCAAUAGGAAUUUAUUGGAAUGUGAAGAAAUUAAAGAAAAUUAAAAGACUCAGCCUCUUUAAGAAGUCUGCUGAAAUGGAGAGGUUAUAUUUAAUUCACAUCUUCAUUAAUCCAAGCAUCUAAUGAAUAAAAUUUCAAAAACUGCUACAGUGAUGUCAAAAUUUUAUGAGAGCAGUAGUUAACCAAAUUUCCACUAAUGUGAUGGUAAUUAGCAUUUUGCAUAGAUUAGUCUUCAGAUUUAUUAUUUUUAAUAUUAUUGGAUUGGAAUGACUAAGGUUGAUUUACUGUGCUUUUUCUUCAUCACAUUAUGUUUCAUAGCUAAAAUAAUUUUAUUUUAAAUUGACAUGGCUUGAUGCUCUUCCGGAGUGACAUGUAAGAAGUCUUGAAGGCUGAGGUUCCUGUCUUGUCGCUCUCAUAAUACUAUACUCUUCUUUAUCAUAAUGUGGAUAUAUUUCAGAUGUAUCUGGUAUCGUCCUAACACUCGUAAUUAUCAUUUUUAUUAAGCCUAUUUUUAAAUAUAUUUGUUACAAUGCAGUUUGUGGAAAACUCUAUUCUUAAUUAAAUAUGACUACAUUUUUGAAAGUCUGUUUAGGAUGUUGAAGAUCUUACUGAGAGAUUAUUUUCUAAAAUAAUUUUGUAUGUAUUAGAUUAUUCCUACUGUAUUGUUAGAUUGUAGACUUUUUAAAAAGAAACCAUAGAUUAUAUAUAAAUGAUUUUUUGCUGUUUUUAAAUGGUACUUGUUUUAUGUUUAAUUUCAUAGGAUGAUUUUGAUAGACAAAUUUUAGAAAAAAUUUUUUUAAAGAAAAGGUUCUAUCAGUUCUCUUAUAAAAGUAGUUUAUCACUUCUGUAUGUUUCAAUUCUGCAGAAAUUGUACAAACAAGAGUAGUUGAAAUGUACAUGUAUAAAGACAAUAUACAUGUUCUUGUUUUUUAAAAUAUCCUAGAAUAAUAGUUCUAACAUUUGAUGCAUAUCAGAAACAUUUUAAAAAUAACACUAUCCAAGCCCCACCCCACCUUAGGCCUAUUGAAUCAAUACAAUCUCUGGGACAUACAUGCUAGAAAAGCUCCACAGGUGGUUUUAAUGUAACCAGAUGUUGAGAACUAAUAUCCUAAAUGUUUCUUGGUGUUCUUUCGGGAAGCAUUUAAAAUUGAAGCUCUUGAUAUAACUUCCAUCUUAUACUCAGAUUUUGAGUCUUUAGAAUUUCCCUAGAAAUACCACCUAGUAAUUUCUGCAUUUUUACUCACUAUUUAUGAACAGUAUGGAGAUUUAGUUAUUGGAACAUUAAUUUUUUGAGACAAUGGUAUGGUUACUCUUUUAUUCUCUGCAACCCCUGCCCCCAUUUAUUCAAGAGAGAUUUGUUAUAUUCGCUUAAGGAAUUUGGUAAUUAUCAGGUAGACAUAAUAAUGAUCCAGAAAUAGGGUAUUUAAUUUCAAGAAGAAUAUACUUACAUCAUGGAUGUGAACAGAUACUUGGAUUAAAGUGUCUGGCCAGUAUUUCAAAUGCUGGAAAAUUAUUGAAAUCAGGAUACAUAAACCUAACAAAGAUAAGAUAAAUGCUACCCUUAAGUCAAAUGGGAAAGACAAACCUGAAUAUAAUGGCAGUAAAACAAGACAGAAUGUCAAGUGCUAUGGGGGAAGGCAAGGAAGAGUUGAAUGGACAGAAAAAGGGCCAUUGUUCCUCUGGAUAGACAAACCAGAAGAGAUGGAUGACGCUGAUGGGAAGGAAUGUGCACACAGCCAACUGAAAUAGGCCAAAUGAAGAAAGUAUGAAACAGGGAGGAGAUAGGAGUCAAAGAAAUGUCCAGCACUAUGCCUUCACCAUCUUACAUGAAAUAGUCCUCUGUCCUUAACCUGUGCUGAAGGAGUAGGAUUGGAUACCCAGGUUUUUAACCCCUAAUCUCACACAUCCAAGCACAGUUGAUUGCUGAAGGUCAGGGAUUAGAGGAUUAGACAGCCACAUUUAUAACACAUGAUGCCAUACUUAUGUCCACAGUUUAACUGAACACCUUACCAGAAGGAAACAAUUCUUAGUUCUGACCGAGCUAGUUAGAUUCUCAAGAAUUUGAGCUCUGAAAUUCAGAGACUGUUAGGUUUUGGUAUACGUGUAAAUGAAAAGAUCAUUUAGAACUGGCCCAGAGUGAGUGAAGCAAGCCAAAAUCUAAAAGAAAUUAUGAACAAGCAGAGAAAGCUGAUCUAUAGAGUGAAGCAAGGGAAUAAAAUAGGUUUACAGAACCAAGCCACUGAUUACCUGUGAGAGAGAGGUGUGGCCUUGGUGUCUGGCUUUGCAGUCCCAUUCUUGAGGUGGCACAGCUCUAUGCUUCAUUUCCUUGUCCCUGGGUGCCAGUGACUUUUUCCUGUUAUAUCCUUACAGUAAAUCCCCCUUCUCUUACACAGGCUCGAAUCCGUUUCUUUUCCUUGUAAUUAGCCCCGACUUAGACACCUAAGUUUUGAUCCUUAAUGAUUGAGAAGAUGGUGAUGCCUUUAACUGUGAUAGGGAAGAUAUGGAAGACAUUUAUGGAAGAGAAGACUUUAUUUUAGAUGCACUGAAUUUGGUUGGUGGUACAGCAGCCACGUGAAAAUGUCUAGCAGUCCUUGGAAAUGGAGCCCAAAAUCCAGGAGAGGUUAGAGCUAGAGAUACAGAUCUUAUAGCAUAAGGCUAAUAAUUAUUGCAAUAGAAAUGAUUAAGGCAGCCCUGGGAGAUGGUAUAGAACAAAAGCUAAGAAAAUCUUUGGGGAAAUACAUUUAAAGAAUGAGCAAAAGAUAGUAGCGCCUGGGUGGCUCAGUCAUUUAAGCAUCUGACUCUUGAUCUCAGCUCAGGCCUUGGUCUCAGGGUCAUGAGUUCAAGCCCCACUUUGGCUCCACACCCAGUGUAGUAUUUAAUUUCAAGAAGAAUAUACUCUUAAAAAAAAAUGAGCAAAAGAUGGAGAUAAAAAGUGAUAACAGAAAGAACACCAGGGUAGUUCAAGUUUUAUGAAGACAGAAGUGGUUUUGUACUAGUACAGAGACUAAAUAGGGUGCAAAUCAAAGACAACUUUAGGUUGGGUAAUUGAAGCAUGAUGAUCCUUUGAGAAGGCAGUAAUAGUAAUAGCGGGAGUAGAAGUUAGGUGGAUAUGGUUCAAGUAGUUAAGACAUUGAAUACUACUAUUUAGCUGAAAAGCAGUGUGGAGCAGGAUUUUUUUUUGUCAAAUAUGUAAAAAAUAUAAAGCAUGUCAUUACUUGUUUUCAAAUCUGAAACACUGUAAAAUAAUGAACAUAGUAUGAUUUGCAACACUGUAAUCAGAGGCUGUAUCUGAACCUGAUCUUAAAGGAUGGUAAGAGGAAGAUAGAUGGAAACUUUAUAUGGUUGCACAUUUACUCAUUACAGUUCAGAUGUGCAGAGGAAGUGGAGUUUUCUGAUGGAAUUUGCAUUUCCUUCCUCUUGAGCUCCCACCCCAUGGGAAAUCAGGAAAAAAUUAACUUUUAGUCCCAGCCAGUUUAAAACUUAGUCUGAUAUAAAGGAGAUACAAUUUAUAAGAUUUUGAGGUAAUGCUUAAACUUUGGGGAGAAUGCUCUUAUUUCUGUCCUUUGUCUUCUCUUUAAACUGGUGUCCAGAUAUAUGGAGGGGACUUAACAUGAUAUAAUGUUAUCAGGGAGGACAGCAUCUUCAUUUCUUCCAUUCUCUGGGCUCUGAUGCAGUAGGCCACAGCCUGUAAAACAUGUGAUCAGGUUUUUCCUAGCUUGGUCAGAGCCCAGUAGUUCUUGACUGAAUUGGCCUCACCUUUGUUCUAACAAAUGUGGAGAACUCUUGGCAUUUCUGCAGCUCUGUUUCAAGCAGGCCAGUGUAGAUCAGGGUGCAGGUUUAACCUGCCCCACCAUCCUGCAGGCUCAAAGUAAGCCUUUUUGCUUCCCAUUCAUCAACUUGCUUCCCACUCAGCUACCUUCUGAGUCUCCCCUUGGGAGAAUAUAGAAACUUGUGGGUCCCCUCCAUACCACACAAGAACAGAGAUUAACCUAGACAAACAAAUCUCAUUACCAAGGUUUACUUUCGUGUGACUGUGCCCUACCUAGCCUGAUGAGGCCACUUCUUUCCAGAAUCCUGUAAACUCCUCUACUACCCAGCAUAUUACAGAUCCUUCAAUAAAAGAUGGGCUGUUGCCACAUUAAACAUGAAUGAAUCACAUUAAUGUUGUACAAAAGAAGUCAGAAAUAGUGUGUACUCUAAGAUUCAGUUUAUAUAAAAUUCAAAAACACGCAAAACUACGCUGUAGUGUUUGAAGGCAGGAGAGUGGUUUCCUAUUGAAAGAAGGUUGGAGGAGCUUCUGGGAAGCCUGUGGCAUUUACUAUCUUUAUCUAGGUCAUGGCUGACAGGGAUGGGUUAGCUUUGUGAUAACUCAUCUACCUGUUCACUUAAGAUUUGUGUACUUUUCAAGGGGCGCCUGGGUGGCUCAGUCAGUUAAACAUCUAACUCUUGAUCUCAGCUCAGGCCCUGAGCAUAGGGUUGUGAGUUCAAGCCCCACAUUGGGCUCCACGCUGGGCAUGGAGCCUACUUUAAAAAAAAAAAUUUGUGUACUUUCUGAAUGAUUGCCAUACUUCCAUUUUAAAAAGUACAUAUUAAAAAAACAAAUUUGAAGAAUGAAGAAAACCAGAGCAUCGGUUCUUAAACUUUAAUGAGAUUAAAGACCUGGAUUGUAAAAAUGCAGAUCACCCAAACUAUCCUCAAAAGUUUUGAUUCAGUAGGUCUGACUCUCAGAAUCUAUUUUAACAUUUGCCUCAGUGGUUCUGAUGCUCCACACUUUAAAAAUGCUGAUUUAGCAUCUGUAGUUCAACAAACUCUCCUUAACUCUCUGGACAGAUAUUCAAGUAUAAGAGGUUUGUCAUAUGGUUA